rnacentral:rRNA from 1 species
CCUACGGGGGACAGCAGUGGGGAAUAUUGGACAAUGGGGGGAACCCUGAUCCAGCGACGCCGCGUGAGUGAAGAAGUAUUUCGGUAUGUAAAGCUCUAUCAGCAGGGAAGAAAAUGACGGUACCUGACUAAGAAGCCCCGGCUAACUACGUGCCAGCAGCCGCGGUAAUACGUAGGGGGCAAGCGUUAGCCGGAUUUACUGGGUGGAAAGGUCGUGUAGCCGGGCUGACAAGUCAGAUGUGAAAUCCGGGGGCUCAACCCCCGAACUGCAUUUGAAACUGUUGGUCUUGAGUAUCGGAGAGGCAGGCGGAAUUCCUAGUGUAGCGGUGAAAUGCGUAGAUAUUAGGAGGAACACCAGUGGCGAAGGCGGCCUGCUGGACGACAACUGACGGUGAGGCGCGAAAGCGUGGGGAGCAAACAGGAUUAGAUACCCUUGUAGUC